rnacentral:pre_miRNA from 1 species
GCUUAUGGAUGAGCAAAGAAAGUAGUUUCUUCAGAUGGAAUCUGCUCCUGUUGAAGAUGCUGUGAA